CCCAAUAUCUGUUGAAUAAAUCCUAAAAAUAUACGUAGUUUGAACAUGUCAAAGUGUUAAACACCUGAAUUUUUGAAAACUGUAUCGAGCCACCUUAACAGCUGGCCUCUGUAGCUCAGUUGGUUAGAGCACUGCACCGGAAUCGCAGGGCCGUAGGUUCAAUUCCUACCAGAGGACCUUGUGUUGCAUUUUUCGCUGUCGUUCCUGGUUAGGUCUUAAAAUGUAUAUAUUCUCACUUGGAUUACAAACCCUAACAUCCUAAUAUUAAUUCCACCAAGUGAAGUGCAAAAAUCUAAAUCAUUCAAGUCCACCUUAUCACAAUCCGCAUGCACACCCGAUUACCUAUAUAUACAUGAACUUACGGUUACAGCUUAACAGCUGGCCUCUGUAGCUCAGUUGGUUAGAGCGCUGCACCGG